UUUCCAAAGCAUGGAACUGAUACCUUUUCUGCUACUUCUGACCAUUACUGAAGGCCACACAUGAAAAAGCAGACACUGCAAGGAAGACCUCCUUAUGACUUGGAAACAAAGAAGGAAUUAUAAUGAUAAAUCCUAAGUCAAAGGACCUAUAAAUGACUAAUUUAGAUUGAAUUAAUGUUACUGCUAUAGACAAAAACGAAGUUGCAAAUCUGGAGCCCCAGGCUCAAUUUCUCUGCCUGGAACUCUAUGCAAGACAGGCAGGAAAAAUAUACAGUAAACACCUUUCUGCAGCAUUGAUACUCAUAAAAGACAACAAAGCAUAGCCACUGGGUAAACAACAUACGGCUAAAUUUAGGUAAGUCCUUUUCUGAAGCUUGAUCUUCCUAGAGAA